UAAAAUGAUGUAGAUUUGAUAAUGGAAGAAAAUUUGAAAAAUAAAAGAGGAUUUUAUAGUAGAAGGUUGAGAAAUAUUUAUUUUUGUAAGUACUGAAGAGGAGUAUAUUUAUGGAUUGGUAAGGUUUUUGUUUAGUAAAAUUUAAAGUUUGUACCUUUUGCAUAAUGGUUUAAUAAUAUUUAUUGAUAUAUUUAUUAGUAUCUCGAAAUAAAAAGAUUUAUUUGUUUUAUAUAUAUAUAUAUAUAUAAGUUAGUUAACGUAGGAUAGUUAUUAUUUUAAAAUUAAAUGGUAGUGAAAUGCUAAUCGAUUUUUAUGGUAGCUAGUUUAUUGAUAUUCAUUUUAGUGAUGGUUAAGAUAAGAUAUAAGGGUAGAUUUAUUUUAAUUAAAAUAUUGGGGGAUAAGCUUCUUGUGAUAUGUAAGAAUUGUUAAUGAAUUAUUAUUAUUAAAUUUAAGUUGAAUUAAUUAAUUUUUCUUUUUAAUAAAUAUUUAAUGAGGUUGGUGUAUAGAUAGUUCUUUAUUAUUAUAAAAUAAAUUAUUUAUAAUUUUAAAAAAAUUAUGUAUAAUGUUAAAAUGAGUAUUUAAUUUUAGGAUUAAGGAUAGAUUAUAUAUAUAUAUAUAUAUAUAUAUAAAUGAUUGUUUGAAGAAUUAAAAGUUAAAAUUGAAAUAAAAUAUUGUAAAGGAAUUCGGCAAAUUCUAAUUUCGCCUGUUUAUCAAAAACAUGUCUCUUUGAGUUUUGUUAAUAGAGAGUUGGGCCUGCUCGGUGAAAUGAAAAUUUAACAGCUGCGGUAUUAUAACUGUACUAAGGUAGCAUAAUAAUUUGUCUUAUAAAUUGAGACUAGAAUGAAUGGUUUGACGAGAAUUAAGCUGUCUCUAUUUUAUUUGUUAGAAAUUAAUUUUUAUAGUGAAAAAGCUUGGAUGGUUUAAAGGGACGAGAAGACCCUAUUGAGCUUGUUUAUUAAUAAUUAAAUAUGAAUUAAAUAAAUUUGGUUAAAAUUAAUUUUGAUUGGGGUGAUCAAGGAAUAAUAGAUAUAGUAACUUCCUUAAAAUUUUGUUAAUUUAUUGAUUAAUAAACCGAUUUUAUUGCUUAUAAGAUAAGUUACCAUAGGGGUAACAGCGUAAUUUUUUUUGAGAGUUCAUAUUGAAAAAAGAGAUUGCGACCUCGAUGUUGGAUUAAAAUUAACCUUAAGGUGUAGAGGCUUUGUUAGGUGAAUCUGUUCGAUUUUUAAAAUUUUACAUGAUCUGAGUUCAAACCGGUGUAAGCCAGGUUGGUUUUUAUCUUUUAAAUUGAGUUUUUAAAUUUAAUUUAGUACGAAAGGAUUGAUUAAUAAUUAAUUAAAAAAUUAAUUAAGAUAAAUUAAUUUA
rnacentral:rRNA from 1 species